rnacentral:lncRNA from 1 species
UGUUAUGGAUGAGGAUAAUAACCAAGAGGAGGAUAUUGGACACUAUGGAGAAGAAGAGCUGGUUCCUAAACUAAGGGCUAAGAGAAACUUGGUCAAACCUCAACGCUUCAAGGACUUUGUGAUGACACCUCCCAAGGGGAGGGGUAAGAAGUGAGAACCCUCUAGAAGCUUCUAGAUAAUAUCUCUGCUAUGAGUCACCAUGUGCUGAGUCAUGGGCUGGUUAAGAAAUGCAUGAGCUGUAUCAGAAUGUACUAAUUAGAUUCCUUUUGAUCUUAUCUAGCUAGUACUAUAAAUGUAAUCAUUGGCAUAUGAAUAAAGCAGAGAACAAAUUCAAGAGAAUAGUGUUAUUACUUUAUUUUAUCAUUGUUUUUAAUUUAUCAGAUCUGCUUUCAUAACAACUUGGUGCUUUCAUUGACCAUGUCUUCCCCACCUACCAUCGAAACCCUAUCCGCCUCCAUUAAUCAACUCCUCCAAAAUCAACAAACCUUUCAAAACCAACAAUCCACCAUCGCCGACAACAUGAACUCCCUUACGUCCGAGGUUAAUAACAUCAGAUCUCGCCUUGGCCCUCCGGGAUUUACCUCACCCAUUCCAACGAUGUCAUCCUUUCCGGCGACGUCUAUCAAACUGGAUAUUCCACGUUUGAUGGUUCAGAUCCACUAGGGUGGAGAUUCAAAAUCACACAGUUCUUCGACUACCACCUUACGCCAGACGAACAACGUCUCCGUAUAGCUUCAUUCUACAUGGAGGGUGAGGCGUUAACCUGGUUCCAGUGGAUGCAUUCCAACGGACAACUACUUAGUUGGUCGGCGUUUCUCCAGGCACUAGAAGCACGUUUUGCUCCUUCCUUGUACGAAGAUCCAAAAGGAGCUCUUUUCAAGUUGUGCCAAACAGGAUCGGUGAAAGAUUAUCAGAGUCAGUUUGAAACACUCGCAAAUCGCAUUUUGGGUCUUCCACCUCCUUUCUGAAGGUGAGAAAAACACAAGAGGGGAGGGGGGGUAGGUUGAAUUGUGUUUUCUUUUUCUCUAAAAAAUUCUUCUUCUGAUAAUACUUUAGAAGCAGUUUAGGAAUGCUUCUGAUGUAAUGACCAGAAUCAGAUAUGCAGCGGAAAAUAACAAAGCAGAGAAAAGAAAAGAAAAGCGAAACACAAGCAAUUAUCCUGCUUCCUUCCACAAAUCGGAAGUAGUCCAGUCCCCCUUGCACUUCCAAGGAGAUUUCACUAAUAAUCACAAAGAUUACAAAUGCUCAAUACUUUCUAAGUAUGAGACUUCUCAAAAUGCUCAAGCACGCAGGCAAGAGUCUUCCAAUGCUCAAGCACUAAAGCAAGACUCUACUAAUGCUCAAGCACGCAGGCGAGAGGCUUCUGUUCAAACAAAAAUACAGAGAAAAUGUUUGACCUUGAACACUUGAUAUACAAUCGGUGGUGUUCACAAUACAAUGCAAUAAAGACUCUAGACUUGUGAAUUUCUAUGAUGUAUCAAAUCAGUGCAGAAAUUCAGUGUUUUUGUAGAAUCAAAUUGACAGAGUUUUGGCGCUUUUUAUUUUUUUUAUCUCUAUCUACAAUCUUCAAGUCUUCACUCCUUUAUAUAGAGGCGUGAAAGAGACGUUGAGAUGAUUAGCACGUCUAAAGAGUCGUUGAGUUCCUUUGAUCAUCCACCAGUAAUCCUUUGCCUGAUUUGGGUGCAGUCCUUUGAAGAAUCGGCUUCAAAUUCAUUCCCAUCUUGAAUGAACAUUCCUGCAGGCAGAGCUGUUGUCUUGUCUUGUAGCGUAGACAAAAACAGAGUAGUGGAGGUAGUGGUUGUACACUUGUACUUUGUCAACUCUGAUAACGAAGGACAAGUACUCAGUGCUCUUCAAAUGACCGUGCUCUUCAAAUGACCGUUGAUACCUCCCUUUCAAUUCUUCGUUCUUCUCAGACGAGGUUGAAACGAGAAACAGCUACUUUGAAUCUUCAGUUUAAAUUUACUGAUCACUUGUAGCUUCUGGUGAUGAUAUCGCUUCUGAUGAAACCUUGCUUCUGAUGGUCUUCUGCUUCUGAUGACGUCAUUACUUCAGAAUCACUUUAGCUUCAGAAGCACUUUAGCUUCAGACGCAGUUUUCUUCAGAUGCUUCGGAUUCCUUUGCUCUCCAUUGUUCUUCCAAGACCUAUUGAAAUUGAUUGACUUUCCUAUGGUCCUGUACACUUGAACAAUUAUUAGCAAUAACCAAUUGACAAUUUUUAAUACCUUGUUAUCAUCAAAACUCAUUAAGGUUUAUUGUGAAACACAUUUUGUUCCAACACUUUCUACUUGAGUUGUUUCAUCUCUAGCCAUUAAUCACCCAAGCAAUUAGCUUGGCCAAAUUGCAGGAGAAAAAUUUUAUGGAUCGCCCCUCACCAACCGUGAAACCGGCAUUUAGCUCACCAUCAAAUUCUCCAGCAGCUUCAUCGUUUCGUCCCACACUCACCGUCAAUCCUCCCAAACCGUCGCCAACCAUCAAACGUCUCUCUCCGGCGGAGCUUCAGGCAAGACGAGAGAAGGGCUUGUACUAUAACUGUGAUGAGAAAUACAUUCAAGGCCACCGGUGUAAACGAUUGUUUCACCUUCUCAUCGUCGAACCAGACGAAAUCCUAGAAGAAGCUGCUACGCUACAAUUGGAAGCUGCAGAUCCAGCUGAAAAAUUGGUUGUACCCGACCUGGAACCGGACCCGGCCCAAAUCAGUCUCCACACCCUCAUGGGUCAUUCUGUUCCUCGCACACUACGGGUUUUGGGCCAAAUCCAUCAAAGCCCAGUCGCCAUUCUCAUAGACAGUGGGAGUACCCACAACUUUUUACCAGAUCGGGUCGUCAAACAAUUGGGUUUACCUACUCAACCGGCACCAUCAUUCAGAGUUUUGGUAGGGAACGAUGAGGUAUUACGCUGCACCGCUAUGUGUACCCAAGUUCAACUCCAUAUGGGUCAGCAUACCUUCACUGUGGAUCUCUUUGUUCUACCUUUAAGUGGAGCUGAAUUAGUCUUAGGAGUACAAUGGCUUGAGACCUUAGGACCAAUUGUCACUGAUUUUAAGAAACUCACUAUGAGAAUUAACAAAGAUGGUGAAACAGUGUUGCUUACUGGCGCUCCUAAGCCUGGUCCGGAGGAAUCCAAUGUCCAUCAAUUUCAACGACUCCUACAAACCGACGCCAUCGACACUUUCUUGCACCUCCAGAUGAUUACACCAGAAACUAACGCACCACUCACAACUGGUACUCAGUCUGCUCAAUUGGAUGGUAUUCUCCAAUAUUUUUCAACACUUUUCAGAACUCCUACAUCCUUACCACCCGAACGACAAAUAGACCACCAGAUUAACCUCCACACCAACUCCAAUCCAGUUAAUAUUCGUCCCUACCGCUACCCCCAUUUCCAAAAGCAGGAGAUUGACACACAAAUCAAGGAGAUGUUAGCCAAUGGAAUUAUUCAGUCUAGUUUGAGUGCUUUCUCAUCACCAAUUUUACAAGUUAGAAAGCAGGAUGGAACAUGGCGAUUCUGUGUCAACUAUAGAGCUCUAAACGCCAUAAUGAUCAAAUACCGCUUCCCUAUCCCAGCUAUCGAUGAGCUCCUUGAUGAACUAUAUGGCACAUGCUGGUUUUCAAAGCUGGAUUUACGCUUCGGGUAUCAUCAAAUCCGAAUGGCUCAGGGAGAUAUUCAUAAGACAGCCUUUCGAACCCACCAAGGACAUUAUGAGUUUUUGGUAAUGCAUUUCGGCUUGAGCAAUGCACCUUCAACUUUCCAAGCUACUAUGAAUGAAGUCUUUGAACCUUAUUUGAGAAGGUUUGUCAUUGUUUUUUUUUACGACAUCUUAGUCUAUAGCUCUUCCUAGGAUGAUCAUUUGCGCCACUUAGAAGCUGUUUUCCAAAUUCUGUUAGAUAAUGAUUUUUGCCUAAAACAAUCAAAAUGUUUAUUCGCUCAAAAUUCCAUUGAGUACCUUGGCCAUGUUGUAUCAACACAAGGGGUAGGACCUGAUCCUGCAGAGAUAAGUGCAAUGGUAGACUGGCCUCGUCCGGAUAAUGUCAAACAGUUACGUGGAUUUCUGGGUUUAACUAGUUUUUACAGGAAGUUUGUUCGGAACUAUGCAACUUUAGCUGCUCCUCUCACUGCUUUACUCAAAAAGGAAGCAUUUAAUUGGAGCAAUGAAGCACAAUCAGCGUCUGAAUGUCUCAAGCGCGCUAUGUCAGAGGCACCGGUACUUAACCUCCCUAAUUUUGAAGAAAAGUUCAUUGUUGAGAUUGACGCUUCUGGGGCUGGUAUGGGAGUAGUAUUGAUUCAACAAGGACAUCCGAUUUGCUACUACAGCAAACAAUUCUGUCCCAGGAUGUUGCGCGCUUCCACUUAUGUUUGUGAACUAUGCGCAAUUACUUCUGCCGUCAAAAAGUGGUGGACAUAUUUGUUAGGCAGCACAUUUACCAUUCACACCGAUCAGCGAAGCUUGCGCGAACUCAUGUCACAAGUUAUUCAAACACCGGAGCAACAAUUCUAUCUGGCUAAAUUAUUGGGGUACUCCUACGAAAUUGUGUACAAACCAGGUGCUCAAAACAGGGUCGUCGAUGCUUUGUCAUGUGUCCAUUGUUUAGCAAUUUCAGUUCCACACAUAGAUUUCAUCACCAAAUUCAAGGAGCAAUUGGUGGCUGAUGAUGAACUCCAGAAGUUAGUUGCUCAAGUGCAACACAAGCAUGACGUCUUCACUGAAUUUCAGCUCAGAGAUGGGUUACUUUUUGUUAAGGGAAAGCUCUUUAUUCCUUCAGCUUCUCCCUUGAAGCAUACUUUGUUAGAAGAAUUUCAUUCCUCAUCCAUAGGAGGUCACAGUGGUGUACAUCGCACAUAUGGAAGACUUCAGGAGAACGUUUUUUUGCAUGACAUGUGUAAAGACGUCGCUACAUUCGUUAAAGCAUGUUAUGUAUGUCAGCAGAUGAAACCUGCCAAUCAUUCUCCUUUUGGGUUGUUGAAUCCGUUACCCAUUCCAGACAAAGUAUGGGAAGACAUAUCGCUCGAUUUUAUCACCGGGCUCCCUUCUUUCCAAAACCAUACGGUCAUUUUGGUUGUCGUGGACAGGUUGUCGAAAGCUGCUCGUUUUGGGAUGCUUCCUACCCACUUUACUGAUGUUAAGGUCGCAAAAUUAUUUGCUAGUAUGAUAUCUAAAUUGCUUCCGACAGAGAUCCUAUAUUUCUCAGUCGUUUCUGGCAGGAAUUAUUUCGGUUAAGUGGUACCAAGCUGCGUAUGUCAUCAGCGUACCACCCCCAAAGUGAUGGGCAAACAGAUGUUGUGAACAAGGUGCUUCAACAGUACCUACGCUGUUUUGUACAUGACAAACCCAAUCAGUGGGGGCAGUUUCUACACUGGGUAGAAUGGCACUACAAUACCGCCACUCACACUUCUACAGGCAUCACACCAUUUCAGGUGGUGUACGGACGCACACCCCCAGCAUUGGCUGACUAUAUUUCUGGGUCUAGUACAUUGCAGGCUGUAGAAGCUACUCUAUCAGACAGAACAAACACACUGCAGCAAUUGAAGAAAAAGUUACACAAAGCCCAGGCAACCAUGAAAGAAAUUGCUGAUCAAAAAAGGGUCCCCCAUAAGUUCCAAGAAGGGGAUCUAGUAUUCAUCAAACUCAGGCCAUACCGUCAGAAUUCUGUAGUGGGAAGACGCAUUCAUAAGCUAUCUAAAAGGUACUACGGCCCUUACAAACUGUUAAAAGAUAUUGGUAAUGUCGCUUUUGAAGUAGAGUUGCCUCCUUCCAGCAGGAUUCACCCUGUAUUUCAUGUCUCACAACUCAAACCUUGUUUCGGCAACAUUGCUGCCUCACUUCAGCUACCACCCGAAACUGAAGGAAAUCACCCCCGUAUUAAGCCCCUGGCAGUUUUAAACUGGAAGCAAGAUAAUGAUACACCCCCUAUGCAAGUCUUGAUUCAGUGGGAUGGUCUAUUUCCGGAAGACGCCACAUGGGAGGACUAUCUUGAUAUGAAAGCCACAUAUCCUGAAUUUAACCUUGAGGACAAGGUGGGUCUUUCAAGGGGAAGGGGAUGUUAUGGAUGAGGAUAAUAACCAAGAGGAGGAUAUUGGACACUAUGGAGAAGAAGAGUUGGUUCCUAAACUAAGGGCUAAGAGAAACUUGGUCAAACCUCAACGCUUCAAGGACUUUGUGAUGACACCUCCCAAGGGGAGGGGUAAGAAGUGAGAACCCUCUAGAAGCUUCUAGAUAAUAUCUCUGCUAUGAGUCACCAUGUGCUGAGUCAUGGGUUGGUUAAGAAAUGCAUGAG